GAAUUUUAUAUAAACUUUUAUAAAAAUUUUUAAUUUUAUAUUUAAGGAGGUUUAUAUUUAGUUGGGAGGAUUGUUAAAUUUAAUAAACUUUAAUAAAUAUAAUAUCAUAUAUUAAUGUAAUUUGUAUUAAAAAGAAUGAUUAUUAAAUUAAAUUAGAAUUAAUUACCUUAGGGAUAACAGCGUAAUAUUUUUUGAGAGAUCAUAUUGAAAAAAGUGUUUGC
rnacentral:rRNA from 1 species